rnacentral:rRNA from 1 species
GAUGAACGCUGGCGGCGUGCCUAAUACAUGCAAGUCGAGCGAACAGACGAGGAGCUUGCUCCUCUGACGUUAGCGGCGGACGGGUGAGUAACACGUGGAUAACCUACCUAUAAGACUGGGAUAACUUCGGGAAACCGGAGCUAAUACCGGAUAAUAUAUUGAGCCGCAUGGUUCAACAGUGAAAGACGGUUUUGCUGUCACUUAUAGAUGGAUCCGCGCCGCAUUAGCUAGUUGGUAAGGUAACGGCUUACCAAGGCAACGAUGCGUAGCCGACCUGAGAGGGUGAUCGGCCACACUGGAACUGAGACACGGUCCAGACUCCUACGGGAGGCAGCAGUAGGGAAUCUUCCGCAAUGGGCGAAAGCCUGACGGAGCAACGCCGCGUGAGUGAUGAAGGUCUUCGGAUCGUAAAACUCUGUUAUUAGGGAAGAACAAAUGUGUAAGUAACUAUGCACGUCUUGACGGUACCUAAUCAGAAAGCCACGGCUAACUACGUG